rnacentral:rRNA from 1 species
ACGAACGCUGGCGGCGUGCCUAAUACAUGCAAGUCGAACGGUCUUUCUAUGGAAGCUUGCUUCCACUGAGAAGAUAGUGGCGAACGGGUGAGUAACACGUGGGUAACCUGCCCAUAAGAGGGGGAUAACAUCCGGAAACGGGUGCUAAUACCGCAUAGUUUUCUUGAUUGCAUGAUUGAGAAAGGAAAGACGGCCUUUGUGCUGUCGCUUAUGGAUGGACCCGCGGCGUAUUAGUUAGUUGGUGAGGUAACGGCUCACCAAGACGAUGAUACGUAGCCGACCUGAGAGGGUGAUCGGCCACAUUGGGACUGAGACACGGCCCAAACUCCUACGGGAGGCAGCAGUAGGGAAUCUUCCGCAAUGGACGAAAGUCUGACGGAGCAACGCCGCGUGAGUGAAGAAGGUUUUUUCGGAUCGUAAAACUCUGUUGUCAGAGAAGAACAAGUUGGAGAGUAACUGCUCCAGCCUUGACGGUAUCUGACCAGAAAGCCACGGCUAACUACGUGCCAGCAGCAGC